UUGAAGUUUCCGGUUGUUGUUUUUUCCUAUCGGUCGCUUUCGGUUCUGACACAAUGAAACCAUCUGAUCCCUCACACGAGAAACGAAACCAACGGAGACAUUUAAACACCUGCAGGGAUCAGUGACUCGCUCAUUCAACACGCGAUAUAACCCCAUAUCUGUUUAAAAAUGUUUAAUUCAAGCAGAGGAGGAGAACAGACAGGAAGAGGAGGGGUCCAGCAACGAAGAGAUUCUUCUCAGACUGGUCGAAGACAAGAGAAUGGGUCAUCUAAUCGAGGAGGUGGGUGGGGGGAAAGUGGAGGAAGAGGAGG